GACGUAGGGCGCAAGCGUUGUCCGGAUUUAUUGGGCGUAAAGAGCUCGUAGGCGGUCUGUCGCGUCUGCUGUGAAAACUCGGGGCUUAACCCCGGGCCUGCAGUGGGUACGGGCAGACUAGAGUGCGGUAGGGGAGACUGGAAUUCCGUGGUGUAGCGGUGAAAUGCGGCAGAUAGUCAGGAGGAACACCGGUGGCGAAGGCGGGUCUCUGGGCCGUAACUGACGCUGGAGGAGCGAAAGCGUCGGGAGCGAACAGG
rnacentral:rRNA from 1 species